AGUUGCACCCACGGGAAGUGGGACUGAUGACCCUCCCCCCUGGACUUAGGACCUAGGCUGGGCUGGGCAUGUCCUUGUUGCUCAGUACAUGUUUGCUGAAUGGUGAAGGAAAACAUGUGUGGGAUGAAGAACUAACAUUGCACAGG